rnacentral:rRNA from 1 species
AAUGAACGUUGGCGGCGUGGAUUAGGCAUGCAAGUCGAACGAAUCCCGUAGCAAUACGGGGGAAGUGGCGAAAGGGGCAGUAAGGCAUGGACAACCUGCCCCCGGCUCCAGGAUAGCCUUCCUAACGGAUGGGUAAUACUGGGUACGCUCCUCUGAAGACAUCUUCGGGGGAGGAUAGCUCCGGCGGCCGGGGAGGGGUUCAUGUGAUAUUAGCUAGUUGGUGGGGUAACGGCCCACCAAGGCGAAGAUGUCUAGCGGGUGUGAGAGCACGACCCGCGCCACUGGCACUGGGACACUGGCCAGACUCCUACGGGAGGCUGCAGUCGAGGAUCUUCGGCAAUGGGCGCAAGCCUGACCGAGCGACGCCGCGUGAGCGAUGAAGGCCUUCGGGUCGUAAAGCUCUGUCGGGGGGGAGGAAAGGGUUAAACCUUGAUCGACCCCCGGACGGAAGCACGGGCUAAGUUCGUG